UGACUUUCGACCUGCGCUGGGGUGUGCUGU
rnacentral:piRNA from 1 species